rnacentral:rRNA from 1 species
GUAUGGUGCGAGCGUUAUCCGGAAUCAUUGGGCGUAAAGCGCGCGUAGGCGGCUUGUUAAGCAGGAAUUUAAAUCUUAGGGCUCAACCUUAAGUCGGUUCCUGAACUGGCAGGCUCGAGUGCAGUAGAGGUAGGCGGAAUUCGUGGUGUAGCGGUGAAAUGCUUAGAUAUCACGAAGAACUCCGAUUGCGAAGGCAGCUCACUGGACUGCAACUGACACUGAUGCUCGAAAGUGUGGGUAUCAAACAGGAUUAGAUACCCUGGUAGUCCACACAGUAAACGAUGAAUACUCGCUGUUUGCGAUAUACAGUAAGCGGCCAAGCGAAAGCAUUAAGUAUUCCCCCUGGGGAGUACCCCCGCAAGGGGAAAACUNAAAGAAAUUGACNGCC